rnacentral:lncRNA from 1 species
CACGAUCAAAAGUUCUGAUCCAGAAAAUCAACACAGUAUGCUAGUACUGUGUUGAUCCUUCUUCGAUGGUCGAUCAGAUACCUCCUUCUUCUUGAUUUGGACUCUUUCAAAGAUGAGAAGUAGGAAAAAGAGUUUUAGAUGUGAGACACUCUCAGAAAACUCAUAGAUGGAGGAAGGAAAGAGGUGAACUCAGCAAUCCUAGA